AAAUAAAUAUAUAUAUACAUAAUAAAAUAAAAUAAAUUGUAGUUUGGAGUAAGCUACUGGUCUAGCAAUUUUAAACGAGUUAAUUGUUAGAUGACAAUUUUUUGUUGCUGAUGGGUCAUUCAAAGUGACCUGUUGUUUCCAGAUUCACAGUGUGAUUCACAAUUAGUCAAGUGAACGAAAUAAGGAGAUAAGGUAUCCUUAUCAGUACUGAUUUAGAGAUACUAGAUUAGAUACGUUAACGAAGUGCCGCAAUGUUACAGUCGAAGUUAAAAAUAACUCUGAACAUGAAUUUCUAACAAAAUUGCAUCCGGGGCAAUAGAAAUUUAAGCCCCACGGAGGUUGAAUAUUAUAAUUGAUAUAUAUAUAACAGCAUUCUCGCGGAAAGGAUUCAGACUUAAAGCUAAAGCUAUAAAUGUGUCACUUGACUAUUUGGUGAAGUCUUUGGAAGCGCGUUCAUUGCCCGUUCAUCAACAUCCAAAAUUUAAUAUGUUGAAAAAAUUCAAUUCAAACCAAAUCGAUGCUAUGAAAAUUCAGAUGGGAGUGGCGUUGAAACAGUUCCAUAAAUACCAGAACACUACUGCUCUGUACAAUUUGUUUUUUACUGAAAAACAGAAAAUCAGCUUUAUAAAGGAAAUAGCACAGCAAAAAUAAUGCACAGUGUUUAACAAAGCACUAUGAAAAAUAAUUAAAAAGAAAUAAUUUCUCAAUUACCAAAUUUAUAUGUAUUUAUAUAUUUAUUUGCAAAUCUUUCUGUGAAAAGCAUUUUCUGUGAUAGUGUUUUCCGAGUAUUAAAAAAAAAAUAA